CUAGAAGAUUCUUCCCACUCCAGAAAGAAACCCAGGGCUCUCCCCCUCGCCUGGCACCCACUUGUCCGCUUUCUGGUCACUGGGUUUGUCUCUGCUGGACGUUGAGUGUGAGCGGACUCCCACGACACGGGUGGGCCGUGCUUGCUGUCUACCCUGCACUGUUUUCCAGGCCUUCCGGCGCGUGGUGGGGCUGCACGCCUCUUCCCGGCCGAACGCCCUUUCCGUGGGUGUGCGCGCCACACUGUUUCUUCUUUUGUUUAUCGACGGGCACCUGAGCUGUUUCCGCUUCUCCUGCCGAGAGUGCCUGAGUAGGGGGUCCCCUGAGGCCUCCCCACGUGGACCGUCUUGCCAGCACCUUCCUCCCGUGAUCGGGUGAAGUAGGUGGCCCCCCGGCUCGAAUCCAGGGGUCAGUGCCAGGGGUGACCCUAGAAAUACCUGCUGGGGCGCCUGGUGAGACCUCGGGUGAGGUUCUGCGGGGAGUGCCUCCAGCCCUGCCUGCAAGUGCCAUCCCCGCUGUGCCCACUCUGCCGCCUGCCCUUCGACCCCAAGAAGGUGGACAAGGCCACCCA
rnacentral:sRNA from 1 species